CACGUAGGGUGCGAGCGUUGUCCGGAAUUAUUGGGCGUAAAGAGCUCGUAGGCGGUGUGUCGCGUCGGCCGUGAAAACCUGCAGCUUAACUGUGGGCUUGCGGUCGAUACGGGCAUCACUGGAGUUCGGCAGGGGAGGCUGGAAUUCCUGGUGUAGCGGUGAAAUGCGCAGAUAUCAGGAGGAACACCGGUGGCGAAGGCGGGUCUCUGGGCCGAUACUGACGCUGAGGAGCGAAAGCGUGGGGAGCGAACAGG
rnacentral:rRNA from 1 species